UGCGGCUGGAUCACCUCCUUUCAAGGAUGUUUCCUGACACGUUGGGAAACGCCGAUAAAAAGACCUGCAUUGGAUCAGUGCAGGCAACUGAUGGCCUCAGGGCGCCGUCAACAUAUCCCUUCCUGUAAUGUUUUGGGCUAGUAGCUCAGUUGGUUAGAGCACACGCUUGAUAAGCGUGGGGUCGGAGGUUCAAGUCCUCCCUGGCCCACCACGACUGUGGUGGUUUCGAGCCUUGAGAGAGUGAAGUUCAUUGAUGACUAUCGAUGAUGCUUUGCUGAUCUUGACUGGGGGCGUAGCUCAGCUGGGAGAGCACCUGCUUUGCAAGCAGGGGGUCGUCGGUUCGAUCCCGUCCGCCUCCACCAGAAACCACACCGGUACACGCUGCUUGGCGAAAGCUUUGAGCGGCAUGAUGGUGCGAUAACAUUACAGGUUAAGGGAAAAAUGUUUCCUCCCUGCCGCACUUUGGUGCGGGAGCGAUGAAAAAGUCUGUUCUUUGUCAGUGUGAAUAGGUUGGUGCACUUUCUGGGUGCUGCCACGAUCCGGGUUGGUCUGACCCAUGUGGAUCGGUUCUUGGGUUCCUGGACUUUGGUCCGGGAGGCUCUGAUCCGGUCUCGUGUUAAGGAUUGUGGCGUAUAGCGGUCAGAGAGUGUUUUAUAAGUAUGAUGAACUUUGCGUGCGAUGCAUUGCAUUUUCUCUGCGCAGAAAACUCUGAAGCGCGCGAGCGUGGAUGGUUGCUGUGCAUGUGUAGUGUGUGAGCAUGAGAAGGGCAUUCGGUGGAUGCCUUGGCAUC
rnacentral:tRNA from 1 species